CCUUCGAUAGCUCAGCUGGUAGAGCGGAGGACUGUAGUUGGUAUCCGUUAGCAAUCCUUAGGUUGUUGGUUCAAUUUCGGCUCGAAGGA
rnacentral:tRNA from 1 species